UUGGAGGGCAAGUCUGGUGCCAGCAGCCGCGGUAAUUCCAGCUCCAAUAGCGUAUAUUAAAGUUGUUGCAGUUAAAAAGCUCGUAGUUGAAUUUCGGGAUUUGUCAGUUGGUCGGGCUUCAUUGUUCGUACUGAUUUGAUGGAUUCUUACCUUCUGAAUAACCAGCAUGCUAUUAAGUUAGUGCGUUGGGGAAGCAGAUCUAUUACCUUGAAAAAAUUAGAGUGCUUAAAGCAAGCUAGUGCUUGAAUAGAUUAGCAUGGAAUAAUAAAAUAGGACGGUAUGGUUCUAUUUUGUUGGUUUCUAGGAUCACCGUAAUGAUUAAUAGGGAUAGUUGGGGGCAUUAGUAUUCAGUUGUCAGAGGUGAAAUUCUUGGAUUUAUUGAAGACUAACUUCUGCGAAAGCAUUUGCCAAGGAUGUUUUCAUUAAUCAAGAACGAAAGUUAGGGGAUCGAAGACGAUCAGAUACCGUCGUAGUCUUAACCAUAAACUAUGCCGACUAGGAAUCGGACGAUGUUAAUUUUUUAAUGACUCGUUCGGCGCCUUACGGGAAAC
rnacentral:rRNA from 1 species